UUUAGUAUCAGCAUUACUAAUACACCAUAUUCAACACCUUUAUUAUACUCCCUACCAAACGACCACUAAAUAGUAUGAGAAACUUCUAUAUUUAUUCUAGUUUAUCUAUAACUAUCAAAAUGGAUUGAUUCUGCCUAUUUGAGUUAGUUCAUACAGAUUUAGAAUUUACCAGACUAGAUUAGACUGAUUCAUCAUUUUGACGGGCCACGAGAAGAAGAGGC
rnacentral:lncRNA from 1 species